AAUAUUGCGCAAUGGAGGAAACUCUGACGCAGCGACGCCGCGUGAGCGAUGAAGGUCUUCGGAUCGUAAAGCUCUGUCCUUGGGGAAGAAGGACGUCAUUUAUGACGCCUUGACGGUUCCCGAGGCGGAAGCCCCGGCCAACUACGUGCUAGCAGCCGCGGUAAUACGUAGGGGGCAAGCGUUGUCCGGAAUUAUUGGGCGUAAAGGGUGCGUAGGCGGCCUUUUAAGUCAGAUGUGAAAGACCACGGCUUAACCGUGGGGUUGCAUUUGAAACUGGAGGGCUUGAGUAUCGGAGAGGGUAGUGGAAUUCCCAGUGUAGCGGUGAUAUGCGUAGAUAUUGGGAGGAACACCAGUGGCGAAGGCGACUACCUGGACGAAAACUGACGCUGAUGCACGAAAGCUAGGGGAGCAAACA
rnacentral:rRNA from 1 species